CUUGAAACACGGACCAAGGAGUUUAUCGUGUACGCAAGUCAUUGGGUGAAUAAAACCCAAAGGCGUAAUGAAAGUAAAAAGUUGAAUUAUAAUUAAGAAAAAAGGAAAGCAAUUUCUUUUUAUUUUUUCUUAUAUUCACUUUUAAGGGAAGAUAGAGAAUUUAUCUAUAUAUAAUUAUUUUAGUUUACUAUUGUAAUUAUUAUAUGAUAAUAUUUCUCGCACUCCCGGGGCGCUUGUUUCACGCAUUGCGUGUCAAUGCGCACCUAGAGCGUACACGCUGAUACCCGAAAGAUGGUGAACUAUGCCUGGCCAGGACGAAGCCAGGGGAAACCCUGGUGGAGGUCCGCAGCGAUUCUGACGUGCAAAUCGAUCGUCGGAGCUGGGUAUAGGGGCGAAAGACCAAUCGAACCAUCUAGUAGCUGGUUCCCUCUGAAGUUUCCCUCAGGAUAGCUUGCGCUCGGUUGAGAAGAGUCUCAUCCGGUAGAGCGAAUGAUUAGAGGCAUUGGGGUCGAAACGACCUCAACCUAUUCUCAAACUCCAAAUAGAUGAGACCCCCGGCUUUCUUAAAAUGAAGCCGUGGGUUUUUGAUCAGAGUGCCAAGUGGGCCAAUUUUGGUAAGCAGAACUGGCGCUGUGG
rnacentral:rRNA from 1 species